CCUACGGGUGGCAGCAGUGAGGAAUAUUGGUCAAUGGGCGGGAGCCUGAACCAGCCAAGCCGCGUGAGGGAAGAAGGUACAGCGUAUCGUAAACCUCUUUUGUCAGGGAACAAAGGCGGGGACUAGUCCCCGGAUGAGGGUACCUGAAGAAAAAGCAUCGGCUAACUCCGUGCCAGCAGCCGCGGUAAUACGGAGGAUGCGAGCGUUAUCCGGAUUUAUUGGGUUUAAAGGGUGCGCAGGCGGCCUGUUAAGUCAGCGGUAAAAGCCCGGGGCUCAACCCCGGCGAGCCGUUGAAACUGGCGGGCUGGAGUUGGAGAGGGCGGUUGAACUCCAUGUGUAGCGGUAAAAUGCGUAGAUAUAUGGAAGAACACCAGUGGGGAAGGCGGCCGCCUGGCCUUUUACUGACGCUGAGGCACGAAAGCGUGGGGAGCAAAUAGGAUUAGAUACCCGAGUAGUC
rnacentral:rRNA from 1 species